rnacentral:lncRNA from 1 species
ACAAGUCUUAUUAUGUAUUUGGCUAUAAAAGGAUAGAGAGAACAUCGUCUAACAAGUGCAGUGAUAAUCAAUGCAAAAUAAAUUCUCUUCUACUAUCAUUACUUCUAACUUCUUCCCCUUAUUUUUCUUAUCUUCUAUUCUAUUUGUUACUCUCUCUUUGAAAUAGCAAUCAGAUAAACAAAAGUGAUCUAUAAUGACUGCAUCAUUUUCAAAUCUGAUUUAAACUGUCCGGUAACACUCAUUAUGUAUUCUUUGACCAAUGGGGCUACAUCAAGGUUUCCUAGUCCAAGACAUAAGAGCUGCUUUCAACCUGCUGCCUGAUGAAAGCUUCUUUGACGAGGUUGUCAAAAUCAUUCACCUAUAUGCAAGCACCCAGAUGGUGGCCGUAAUAACCCUAAAUUUUUUUUUUUAUAUAAAGAAGGAUAGAAUAGUCCUUAAAAAUUGAUAUAAGGGGUAAAAUUGGAAGGAAUCAAAAGUUAAUGCAUAAUUGUAGAUGCAUUGAAGUGGUAAGGGCAAAAUGGGGAUUUAGCAUUGUGAUGUGAUUUAAAUGGAGGGUUUGGGGUGCUGUGGCGGUGAGAUGAAACAAAGAAGGACAGAGAGGGCUGGGUCUCAGGUGGUGGAAGGAAAGAAAAAAAAAGAAGAAAGAAGAAGAAGAAAGAAGAAGGGAAGGGAGCCCCGGUUGCGCUGCCAGCUGAAGGAAAAAGUGUAGGUCUCCUUCCUCUCUACGCAAAGACCUCGAUUUUUCGAAAAGAAAAAGGUAAAUACCCAUCCCUACCUAGUCUUCUAAUGGAUUUGAGACUAUAAAGAGGUUAGAUAGGGAUUUUAGAGGUAGUUAAAAGAGGAAUAAUCGGAUUUCGACAAGGUUUUUCCGAGACUGCGGAAAAACUGUGUCGAAGUCCCAACUUCGGUGAAUUUUUUCGGGGGCCAAUCGGCCUCCGAUGAUGAUGUAUCUUACUAUUCUGGAAAUCCCUAUAAGUGUCGAAUAUUAGGUAUAAAUUUCAUAAAGUUUGGAGUUUGGAAAGUGGAACAAAACCGGGAUGAAGUAACCCGCUGUCAGUCUAGGUUACUGUUCAUCCGAGAUGAAGAAGGUGAGAAAAAUGAUGGGAGUUGCCUCGAAACGCGCCGGAGUCGACUCGAGGCCAACUGGAGUUGAUUCGGGGCAGAUUAGGGUCGACUCGAGCUAGGCGGAGUCGACUCGAGAGGUGCCGGGGUCGACUCGAGAUGUGCCGGGGUCGACUCGGGAAGUCGGAGACGGCUCGGGAUUCAGAAAAAUUUUAGAAAGAGAAAGGAUUCAAUUUUUUAUCGCACAUUGUCCCAACAGCAAUGGCCCAAGGUGUGAGUGAAAUGCUCCUGCAUCAAAAUACACAUAAAUAGCAAGUUAAUUAAUAGAAAAAGGAAGAUUUAGUGAGGGGGGAGUUGAGUCAAUUAAAGUUUUCUAUGAUACAUAGAUUAUGAGUCCUUGAUACAAGACUGAAUGUAUAAUUAAUGCAUGUCACAGUUGGGCAAGAAGCUAGGGAACAAGAGGAAGAAGUCCCCCACUGCCUACUGUAGAUUUUUGGAGGUGUAUCAGGACCGUGCCGGAUUGGCAGGUGAGUGGAAGUCAUGUACUUUGCACCAUGAGCAUUCUUAAUUCAUUUUCAUGAAUGUCGCCAAGUGUGAAUUGAUUCCACUUGAGCAUAUUGAUUGAUAUUGUAGUAGAUUCCUCUAUAAUCUUGUUUCUCCAUGCUUGAUUAUUUUGUACAUGCACUGAGGGAAUAUUGAGAGAAAUUUCAAGGGGUAGAAGAGUAGUCAAAUUGGUUCCGAAUUGUGAAAUGACUUCUUUUGUAAAUUAAUUUUAUUUCCUCUAUUUCAAAGACUUGUAGAGCCUUUUCAGUGAUAUAUUGAGUUGCAUUGCACUCCCUUGACCCCUCACUCCCAACCCUGAUGUUAGUUUAUGAUUGGGCCGUGGUUGAGUGAGUGGUAAUCUUGAUUAUACUCCUUUUUAGUAGAGUAUUGGGAUGGUGCAUUAUGACAUUUAUGCAUGGCUUGACAGUAUCUACAGGACACCUAUAGUCUAUGGGGUUAGACAUCAGCCUGUGUGCACAUAGUAGCCUUCUGGGUGAGCGGAGCCCAGUCCCUUCCUAGGGGGGAUACGGCCCUAGGCGUAGGAUCGGCCGGUCCUGUGACUUAUAUAUGGCUUGCCGCCGGGCAAAGUAAGAUCCGCAAGGUGUCGUUUAGUAUACAGAUAUGAGAUGUUUCUAUGGAUUUCUGUUCUGGAUACUGGCCAGCAUUUACAUUAUCAAUAUAGUGUCUUAUCCUGCAUAUGCAUGUGACAGUAGGAAGUUGUUGUGGUUCGCCUGGGGCGUAAGACCCACCUUCCGACAGCUGUCUAGUGAUGACUUCGCAUAUUGACACAUCGAUUUGCAUAUUUCAGUGUUAUAAUCUAUUGAGCAUAUUCAUGAUGUAUCAUUCAUGUUUAUUUGACUAUUCUAUAUAUGCUCCCGAUGAUUAUGAUUGUGGUGAUACUGUGAUGAUUUACUCCAUAUUUCUUAUGUUGAGUUGUGUGCACCCUGUUAUUGAUGACUGCUCAUAUGCUCUUGAGAUUUCACCUCGAGCCAUGAUUAUAUCUUGUCUCAUGUGCAUAGUACUCUCUACUCCGCUCACUGAGUAUUCAUAUACUCACUUUCCAGUUUGGUGUUUUUGAUUGCAGGGCAGGUGUUGUACAGAGAGGAGCAGGGUUAGAGAUUGCCUGCUAGCUGUGCUGCUUCAUAGUAUAAUGUAGAUAGAGGUUUAUACCUUUUGGUGUAUUAUAAACCUUCUGUUGUAUAUAGUGUAUAGUUACAGUCAUAGAUCCUGUUGUGGAUAUGGGUUGACCAUGGAUGGAUUGGGAAACAGGUAUAUAUAUAUAUGUGCAGAUCAGUUGUGUGCCUGUGAUAAUGUAUUGCUAUAUAUUGUCCAGGUUUAUUAUGUGACAGAAUAUGUGAUUGCUGCUCUGACAGGUAGUGUUGUUGUAUGUAUUGAGAUAAUCCUGACAGGUCAAUAUAGGAAAGGUGAUCAUUUGUGUAUGCAUCAUGCCAAAAUUUUCAGAAUUUAUUGAUGAUUGAUAGGUAGUAGGGUUCUAUGUGGUGGCUGGUGGCCUUAUGCCUACCUGCACCCUAGGACCGUCGCGGCGGCCCGCCGGAACAGGGCAGGGGUCGUGACAGUGGCCCUUGCUAGCCUUCUAGUCUCAACCUCUUCCACACUCACUUGAGUUAGAUUCAAUACCAAAACCUGCAUAGAAGUUCUGAAUUAGACAAGUAUGAGGUACAAAGACUUGAAAUGGUUUUCAUUGGAUGUCUUUUGUCCAACAGUAAUUUAAAAUAUGGAAUUUCUGA